AGAGUUUGAUCCUGGCUCAGAAUCAACGCUGGCGGCGUGCCUCAGACAUGCAAGUCGAACGCGAAAGCUCCCUUCGGGGAGCAAGUAGAGUGGCGCACGGGUGAGUAACACGUAGGUAAUCUACCUUUGGAUGGGGAAUAACAACCGGAAACGGUUGCUAAUACCGCAUAAUGCAGCGGCACCUAAUGGUGACAGUUGUUAAAGCGGGGGAUCGCAAGACCUCGCGUCUGAAGAGGAGCCUGCGGCGGAUUAGCUAGUUGGUAAGGUAACGGCUUACCAAGGCGAUGAUCCGUAGCCGGCCUGAGAGGGCGGUCGGCCACACUGACACUGACAUACGGGUCAGACUCCUACGGGAGGCAGCAGUCGGGAAUUUUGGGCAAUGGGCGAAAGCCUGACCCAGCAACGCCGCGUGAAGGAUGAAAUCCUUCGGGAUGUAAACUUCGCAAGAACGGGAAGAAUAAGCCGGUGUCAACACCACCGGCGAUGACGGUACUGUUUGUAAGCUCCGGCUAACUCCGUGCCAGCAGCCGCGGUAAUACGGGGGGAGCAAGCGUUGUUCGGAUUUACUGGGCGUAAAGGGCGCGUAGGCGGCCACCGCAAGUCGACUGUGAAAUCUCCGGGCUUAACCCGGAACGGUCAGCCGAUACUGCGGGGCUAGAGUGCAGAAGGGGCAACUGGAAUUCUCGGUGUAGCGGUGAAAUGCGUAGAUAUCGAGAGGAACACCUGCGGCGAAGGCGGGUUGCUGGGCUGACACUGACGCUGAGGCGCGAAAGCUAGGGGAGCGAACGGGAUUAGAUACCCCGGUAGUCCUA
rnacentral:rRNA from 1 species